rnacentral:rRNA from 1 species
GACGAACGCUGGCGGCGUGCUUAACACAUGCAAGUCGAACGGAAAGGCCCUGCUUUUGCGGGGUGCUCGAGUGGCGAAAGGGUGAGUAACACGUGAGUAACCUGCCCUUGACUUUGGGAUAACUUCAGGAAACUGGGGCUAAUACCGGAUAGGAGCUCCUGCUGCACGGUGGGGGUUGGAAAGUUUCGGCGGUUGGGGAUGGACUCGCGGCUUAUCAGCUUGUUGGUGGGGUAGUGGCUUACCAAGGCUUUGACGGGUAGCCGGCCUGAGAGGGUGACCGGCCACAUUGGGCCUGAGAUACGGCCCAGACUCCUACGGGAGGCCGCAGUCGGGACUAUUGCGAAAUAGGCGGCAGCCAGAUGUAGCAGAGUCGCGUGCGGAAAGACACUCUUCGGGUUGUGAACGGCUUUCGCUUGUGACGCGGCCUGCGUGACGGUAAUGGAUAAGAAAGCACCGGCUAACUACGUG